CCUACGGGAGGCAGCAGUGAGGAAUAUUGGGCAAGGGACGAGAGUCUGAACCAGCCAAGGAGCGUGAAGGAAGACGGCCCUAUGGGGUGUAAACUGCUUUUAUAAAGGAAUAAAACGAGGCACGUGUGCCUUUUUGCAUGUACCUUAUGAAUAAGGAUCGGCUAACUCCGUGCCAGCAGCCGCGGUAAUACGGAGGAUCCGAGCGUUAUCCGGAUUUAUUGGGUUUAAAGGGUGCGUAGGUGGGGUGUUAAGUCAGUGGUGAAAGUUCGCGGCUCAACCGUAGAAUUGCAUUUGAUACUGGCAGUCUUGAGUACAGUUGAGGUAGGCGGAAUGCGUGGUGUAGCGGUGAAAUGCUUAGAUAUCACGCAGAACCCCGAUUGCGAAGGCAGCUUACCAAACUGUGACUGACAUUGAUGCACGAAAGUGUGGGUAUCAAACAGGAUUAGAUACCCCAGUAGUC
rnacentral:rRNA from 1 species